rnacentral:rRNA from 1 species
GUGGGGUAGGGGAGCGUUCUGUAAGCCGUUGAAGGUGGUCUGUAAGGGCUGCUGGAGGUAUCAGAAGUGCGAAUGCUGACAUGAGUAACGAUAAAGGGAGUGAAAAACUCCCUCGCCGGAAGACCAAGGGUUCCUGUCCAACGUUAAUCGGGGCAGGGUAAGUCGACUCCUAAGGCGAGGCCGAAAGGCGUAGUCGAUGGGAAACGGGUUAAUAUUCCCGUACUUCUUACAAUUGCGAUGGGGGGACGGAGAAGGCUAGGUGGGCCUGGCGACGGUUGUCCAGGUUCAAGUAUGUAGGCGGAAGGUUUAGGUAAAUCCGGACUUUCUUAACGCUGAGAUACGAUGUCGAGCACCUACGGGUGUGAAGUCAUUGAUGCCAUGCUUCCAGGAAAAGCCUCUAAGCUUCAGAUUGUAAGGAAUCGUACCCCAAACCGACACAGGUGGUCGGGUAGAGAAUACCAAGGCGCUUGAGAGAACUCGGGUGAAGGAACUAGGCAAAAUGGUACCGUAACUUCGGGAGAAGGUACGCUCUUAUCAGUGAAGUCCCUUGCGGAUGGAGCAG